UUUUUAUUUGUUCUAAAAAUGCAUGAAAGGUAUUUUGAUGCUCUGGAAUGUGAUUUUCCCCCUUCUUUGUUGUGGUUGCAAAAAUCCACCUCUCAGUGAACCAUCCUACCCUCAUACGACAAACUGAUGUUGGAAAUCUUCUUCACAAUUAGGUUGCCACUUAGCCAACACAAAUACCAAGAAUCAUCCUAAUCUUGGUGAACAGCAAUUCAGUCACACUUGACCCUGACUGAUGAUCAUAAAGCUGAGGUCCCGUUCAUAUCGCAGACUUGGAAAUAUCUUUUACUACUGCCGAUUUGCUUCGUAUCACGGACUGCUUGCUUGGCAUCACGUAAGCCAGCCCCAAACAUCCUGUGGGAUUUCAACCAUCAAAAUUGGAAAGCUCAAAUGCCACCAUCUCCAAAACAUUUUCUCUGGUGCUACAAGUGGAAAUUGUUCCUUCCUCCAAAUACAACCUGGAUCCCUGCACACCCUGCAUUGUAUUAAAGGUAUUUGUGUACAUGUUUGAUGUUCAUUUUGGUGCAAUAAUAUAUCUGUAUGGGGAGUGUGUGUCGGGUUCAUGUUAUUCAUCCC
rnacentral:lncRNA from 10 species